rfam:Cavia porcellus supercont2_2 genomic scaffold, whole genome shotgun sequence.
GUAUAUGGCCAUACCACCCUGAACGUGCCCGAUCUCGGCUGAUCUUGGAAGCUAAGCAGGGUCGGGCCUGGUUAGUACUUGGAUGGGGAGGUGCAGCAUUAGGUUGUUUGUUUCU